rnacentral:rRNA from 1 species
AGCAGCCGCGGUAAUUCCAGCUCCAAUAGCGUAUAUUAAAGUUGUUGCAGUUAAAAAGCUCGUAGUUGAAUUUCGGAGUUUGUCGGUUGGUCGGGCUUCAUUGUCCGCACUGACCUGAUGGAUUCCUACCUUCUGAAUAACCAGCAUGCUAUUAAGUUAGUGCGUUGGGGAAGCAGAGCUAUUACCUUGAAAAAAUUAGAGUGCUUAAAGCAGGCUUAUGCUUGAAUAGAUUAGCAUGGAAUAAUAAAAUAGGACGGCAUGGUUCUAUUUUGUUGGUUUCUAGGAUCACCGUAAUGAUUAAUAGGGAUAGUUGGGGGCAUUAGUAUUCAAUUGUCAGAGGUGAAAUUCUUGGAUUUAUUGAAGACUAACUUCUGCGAAAGCAUUUGCCAAGGAUGUUUUCAUUAAUCAAGAACGAAAGUUAGGGGAUCGAAGACGAUCAGAUACCGUCGU